rnacentral:rRNA from 1 species
UACGUAGGGGCAAGCGUUGUCCGGAAUUAUUUGGGCGUAAAGAGCGUGUAGGCGGUCCGGUAAGUCAGCUGUGAAAGUCAAGGGCUCAACCCUUGAAUGCCGGUUGAUACUGUCGGGCUAGAGUCCGGAAGAGGCGAGUGGAAUUCCCGGUGUAGCGGUGAAAUGCGCAGAUAUCGGGAAGGAACACCAAUGGCGAAGGCAGCUCGCUGGGACGGUACUGACGCUGAGGCGGCGAAAGCGUGGGGAGCGAACAGG